UACGUAGGGGGCGAGCGUUAAUCGGAAUUACUGGGCGUAAAGCGUGCGUAGACGGUCAUGUAAGUCGGGUGUGAAAGCCCCGGGCUCAACCUGGGAAUUGCAUUCGAGACUGCAUGGCUAGGGUGCGGAAGAGGGAAGCGGAAUUUCCGGUGUAGCGGUGAAAUGCGUAGAUAUCGGAAGGAACACCAGUGGCGAAAGCGGCUUCCUGGUCCAGCACCGACGUUCAGGCACGAAAGCGUGGGGAGCAAACAGG
rnacentral:rRNA from 1 species